CUGUGGAGUUCCAGUGGUACCUACAUAAUAGAGGAGCAGUCCUUGUUACUUUGCUCUGUGGAUAUGAAAUUCAAAUCGACCCCUUUCACCUGACAAGAACAUUGAUAUUGGACAAUGCCAGCCUCUUUUAAAUUCUUGCUGUCUACAAUAUCUGUGCAUGGCACCUGCGAUGAAUAAGGUCAGGGAAAGAUCAUGGUUAUGGUUAAACACAUAUCUGCAUGUCAGAUGUGCUAUAUGCCCCUCCACCACGCACUUACUCUCUGCCUUGAUACAGAAAGCUCACACUGAAUGGGCACUGAACGCUGAUGCAAAUUGGGGUAAUUUGAGCCACUAGCCCACAGGGAAAUUAUGGGAUGUCAGGAGAAUGGUAGGGAGGAAGAGGGAGACGUGGAGAAAGGAAACUAAUAUAUGCAGAGGCUCAAAGAAGUCAGCUAUCUUCUACAGACACUCUGGUUCCUGAAGGAGAGAAUACUCCUCAAAACAACUCAUCUGGUUCCUCAGAUCCAAAUGCUGAUUCUACAAAUGCUGGUUUCAGUCAUGUUAAUGACAAUAUACAGAGGUCUCUACAGGACAUAUGGAGUGAUGAUAGCUGUGGCACUGGUGCAUGGAGGAGUGUUACCUUCUUUUUCUCUGAGAGGCUCUGCUAAAACCUGUGCUCCACACUUACAUCACCACCCACUCUCCAAGAAGUAGCAGAUCAGGAUUUGCAGUGGAAACUCAAAAAGUGGUUGGAUGAGAUUUUCUAAUUUUUAAAGGAAAAUGCUCAGAAUAGCAUACGCCCUGAGGGACUGAACACACUUGGCCUCCUGGACCUGAUGAAAAUUCACCCGAGCAUCUUCAAGGAAAGUGUUUUCUUCAUCGUAGAGGCCUUGAAAGGCUACAGACUUGAUCUCCCUGUUCCAAGCAGAGCUGUCCCCUCCAGGAAGCAACCAGAGGUGACUGGAAAAGAGAAUGGAAGAGUACUGAGAGACUACUGAAGACUUGAGACCCUUGAGAGGAGCAUCAGGUGGGCAAGAGGGAGGAUUCUUCCAUUGGAGGUUGCAGAUGAACUUCUUCCAUUAGUGACCUGUUUUAUUCAACUAGUGCAAACAGCUUUGUCAUGUCAACUCAAUAAGAUAUUGACUAUGAUUCAUAUGAUUCCAUCUCUUUUGUCAGUCAGUCAAACUUUAUGCAGGGGUUAGGUUCUCAGCCACCAUGUCUGAAUUCAGGCAUAGAGCAGUUUUAAAUUCAUAUUAUACUUAAUUCAAUACAUUGUACACUGGACAACUAUUCAGGCUCCCAAAUCUUUUCUUGCUUUAAUCCCUGCUUUAUGUAGAAGUUAAAUGCAAUUCAAAGUGCUUUCUUUGAAUUGGAGUUACAUUGACUUCUAAAAAGUCUCUUUUGAGGUUGGGGUGAACAGGACACUUGUCAUGCCUGCUGGAGAUUACAUCAUGCAUUAUGUCAAGACUUUGGAUACACUUAAAGUUGGACUUGUUUUCAACAUGCUCAAUUCACAGUAGGUUAUGUUGUAUGUGUUCUGAUGGCACUUGAAUGCAGUUUGGUGCAGUAU